rnacentral:rRNA from 1 species
AGAUUGAACGCUGGCGGCAGGCCUAACACAUGCAAGUCGAGCGGUAGAGAGGUGCUUGCACCUCUUGAGAGCGGCGGACGGGUGAGUAAUGCCUAGGAAUCUGCCUAGUGGUGGGGGAUAACGUUCGGAAACGGACGCUAAUACCGCAUACGUCCUACGGGAGAAAGCGGGGGACCUUCGGGCCUCGCGCCAUUAGAUGAGCCUAGGUCGGAUUAGCUAGUUGGUGAGGUAAUGGCUCACCAAGGCGACGGAUCCGUAACUGGUCUGGAGAGGAUGAUCAAGUCACACUGGACUGAGACACGGUCAGACUCCAGGGAGCAGCAGGUGGGAAUAGUUAGGACAAGUGGGACGAAGCCGUA